AAAGAUUUGUGACAGUUUAGCUAGUUAUUAGCAAGCAUGCUAGUCAGUGUACUAGUGUUUAAAGAAAAGAGAUGGCAGCAACAAGGCCACAGAGAGUGAAAAGAAAUCACAAACAUGAUGCCAUUUAUUAUUGCUCCUUAGGUGAAGAUAAGGAAGGAUUUGAAAUAAAAUAUUUUAAUUAAUUUAAAGGUUGGGGUGUGUUCAGCUGCCGGUGCUUUCAAAAAGAUUUCCUUAUUGAGUACAGAGGGGAAGUCAUAAAUAGAAAGGAACAAGAAAACCGAUUGAAAGUUUACCAUGAUGCACUUAAGGUUUUUAUGUUUGAUUUCCGGUUCAAUGGACAAUAAUUAUGGUGUGUGACUGUUUUAAUGUGU